rnacentral:misc_RNA from 1 species
UCCAACUUAUCGCUGGCGGUCUCCUGAGAGUGCUUCCCUUACGGGAGUGGCAACACAGGACAAGGGUUGCGCUCGUUGCGGGACUUAACCCAACAUCUCACGACACGAGCUGACGACAGCCAUGCAGCACCUGUGUUCCGAUUCCCUUUCAGGCACACCCACCUUUCAGCAGGCUCUCGGACAUGUCAAGGGUAGGUAAGGUUGUUCGCGUUGCAUCGAAUUAAUCCACAUCAUCCACCGCUUGUGCGGAUCCCCGUCAAUUCCUUUGAGUUUUAAUCUUGCGACCGUACUCCCCAGGCGGAUGACUUCACGCGUUAGCUGGAGGAAGGUGGGGAUGACGUAAGCCUAUCGAGA